rnacentral:rRNA from 1 species
GACGUAGGGGGCCAGCGUUGCUCGGAAUUAUUGGGCGUAAAGGGCGCGUAGGCGGUGCGGUAAGUCACCUGUGAAAUCUCCUGGCUCAACUGGGAGCUUGCAGGCGAAACGGCCGUGCUGGAGUGUGGGAGAGGUGCGUGGAAUUCCUGGUGUAGCGGUGAAAUGCGUAGAUAUCAGGAGGAACACCUAUGGCGAAGGCAGCUCUCUGGGACGGUACUGACGCUGAGACGCGAAAGCGUGGGGAGCGAACAGG